UACAGAGGGUGCAAGCGUUGUUCGGAAUUAUUGGGCGUAAAGAGCGUGUAGGCGGCCAGGGAGGUCCGUUGUGAAAACUCGAGGCUCAACCUCGAGACGCCGAUGGAAACCCCCUGGCUAGAGUCCGGAAGAGGAGAAUGGAAUUCCCGGUGUAGCGGUGAAAUGCGCAGAUAUCAGGAAGAACACCGGUGGCGAAGGCGGCCUGCUGGGCAGUGGCUGACGCUGAGGCGCGACAGCGUGGGGAGCAAACAGG
rnacentral:rRNA from 1 species